GACGAACGCUGGCGGCGUGCCUAAUACAUGCAAGUUGAGCGCUGAAGGUUGGUACUUGUACCAACUGGAUGAGCAGCGAACGGGUGAGUAACGCGUGGGGAAUCUGCCUUUGAGCGGGGGACAACAUUUGGAAACGAAUGCUAAUACCGCAUAAAAACUUUAAACACAAGUUUUAAGUUUGAAAGAUGCAAUUGCAUCACUCAAAGAUGAUCCCGCGUUGUAUUAGCUAGUUGGUGAGGUAAAGGCUCACCAAGGCGAUGAUACAUAGCCGACCUGAGAGGGUGAUCGGCCACAUUGGGACUGAGACACGGCCCAAACUCCUACGGGAGGCAGCAGUAGGGAAUCUUCGGCAAUGGACGAAAGUCUGACCGAGCAACGCCGCGUGAGGGGAGAAGGGUGUCGGAUCGUAAAACUCUGUUGGUAGAGAAGAACGUUGGUGAGAGUGGAAAGCUCAUCAAGUGACGGUAACUACCCAGAAAGGGACGGCUAACUACGUG
rnacentral:rRNA from 1 species